rnacentral:rRNA from 1 species
AGCCAGACUCCUACGGGAGGCAGCAGUGGGGAAUCUUCCGCAAUGGGCGCAAGCCUGACGGAGCAAUGCCGCGUGAACGAAGAAGGUCUUCGGAUUGUAAAGUUCUGUCCUUAUCGAAGAGAGGGUAUAGAGUGAAAAAUGAUAUACUAGGACGGUAGAUGAGGAGGAAGCUCCGGCUAACUACGUGCCAGCAGCCGCGGUAAUACGUAGGGAGCAAGCGUUAUCCGGAUUUAUUGGGUGUAAAGGGUGCGUAGACGGGAUUACAGGUUGGUUGUGAAACCCCUCAGCUCAACGGAGGAACUGCAACCAAAACUAUAAUUCUUGAGUGCAGGAGAGGAAAGUGGAAUUCCUAGUGUAGCGGUGAAAUGCGUAGAUAUUAGGAAGAACACCGGUGGCGAAGGCGACUUUCUGGACUGUAACUGACGUUGAGGCACGAAAGUGUGGGGAGCAAACAGGAUUAGAUACCCCGGUAUA